AUUGAACGCUGGCGGCAUGCCUUACACAUGCCAGUCGAACGGCAGCACGGGUGCUUGCCCCUGGUGGCGAGUGGCGAACGGGUGAGUAAUACAUCGGAACAUGUCCUGUAGUGGGGGAUAGCCCGGCGAAAGCCGGAUUAAUACCGCAUACGAUCUACGGAUGAAAGCGGGGGACCUUCGGGCCUCGCGCUACAGGGUUGGCCGAUGGCUGAUUAGCUAGUUGGUGGGGUAAAGGCCUACCAAGGCGACGAUCAGUAGCUGGUCUGAGAGGACGACCAGCCACACUGGGACUGAGACACGGCCCAGACUCCUACGGGAGGCAGCAGUGGGGAAUUUUGGACAAUGGGCGAAAGCCUGAUCCAGCAAUGCCGCGUGUGUGAAGAAGGCCUUCGGGUUGUAAAGCACUUUUGUCCGGAAAGAAAUCCUUGGCCCUAAUACGGUCGGGGGAUGACGGUACCGGAAGAAUAAGUACCGGCUAACUACGUG
rnacentral:rRNA from 1 species